UACGAAGGGGGCUAGCGUUGCUCGGAAUUACUGGGCGUAAAGGGCGCGUAGGUGGACAGUUUAGUCAGAGGUGAAAGCCCAGGGCUCAACCUUGGAAUUGCCUUUGAUACUGGCUGCCUUGAGUACGGAAGAGGUAUGUGGAACUCCGAGUGUAGAGGUGAAAUUCGUAGAUAUUCGGAAGAACACCAGUGGCGAAGGCGACAUACUGGUCCGUUACUGACACUGAGGCUCGAAAGCGUGGGGAGCAAACAGG
rnacentral:rRNA from 1 species